rnacentral:rRNA from 1 species
GACGAACGCUGGCGGCGUGCCUAACACAUGCAAGUCGAGCGGAGAUGAUGUGAGGAAGUUUUCGGAUGGAAUCACAUUAUUUUAGCGGCGGACGGGUGAGUAACGCGUGAGCGACCAACCUUGCACAGGGGGAUAACGGACCGAAAGGUUCACUAAUACCGCAUAAGACCACGGUGUUGCAUGACACAGGGGUCAAAGGAGCAAUCCGGUGCAAGACGGGCUCGCGUCCGAUUAGGUAGUUGGAGGGGUAACGGCCCACCAAGCCUAUGAUCGGUAGCCGACCUGAGAGGGUGAUCGGCCACAUUGGAACUGAGAUACGGGUCCCACUCCUACGGGAGGCAGCAGGCUAGAAAUUUGGGCAAUGGGGGAAACCCUGACCCAGUGACGCCGCGUGCAGGAAGGAGCCCUUCGGGGUGUAAACUGCUGUCGUGUAGGGAGAAGGGUACUAAGGUGAACAAUCUUAGUACUUGACGGUACUACAGGAGGAAGCCCAGGCUAACCUCGUG